AUUGAACGCUGGCGGCAGGCUUAACACAUGCAAGUCGAACGAGUGGCGGACGUGUGAGACAUGCUUGGGAACCUAGCUUAUGGAGGGGGAUAACUACGGGAAACUGUAGCUAAUCCCGCGAACCUUAGGCUGAGCCCAGGUGGGAUUAGGUAGUUGGUGAGGUAAAGGCUCACCAAGACGACGAUGCCUAGCUGGUCUGCGAGGAUGACCGGCCACACUGGAAAUGAGACACGGCCCAGACUCCUACGGGAGGCAGCAGUGGGGAAUAUUGCGCAAUGGGGGAAAGCUGACGGAGCCAUGCCGCGUGACUGAUGAAGGCCUUCGGGUUGUAAAGUUCUUUCGGUAGCGAGGCGUUAACUACAGAAGAAGCACCGGCUAACUCCGUGCCAGCAGCCGCGGUAAUUC
rnacentral:rRNA from 1 species